rnacentral:rRNA from 1 species
ACAAGCGGUGGAGCAUGUGGUUUAAUUCGACGCAACGCGAAGAACCUUACCAGGGCUUGACAUCCCUUGAUGUCUGUAGAGAUACAGAGUUCAAACCUCGGGUUUGACAAGGAGACAGGUGGUGCAUGGUUGUCGUCAGCUCGUGUCGUGAGAUGUUGGGUUAAGUCCCGCAACGAGCGCAACCCCUACUUUUAGUUGCUAACAGGUGAAGCUGGGCACUCUAGACGAACUGCCGUUGACAAAACGGAGGAAGGUGGGAUGACGUCAAAUCAUCAUGCCCCUUAUGUUCUGGGCUACACACGUGCUACAAUGGCCGGUACAGACGGAGGCGAAGCCGCGAGGCGGAGCAAAUCCGAAAAAGCCGGUCUCAGUUCGGAUUGCAGGCUGCAAUUCGCCUGCAUGAAGUCGGAAUCGCUAGUAAUCGCAGGUCAGCAUACUGCGGUGAAUACGUUCCCGGGCCUU